GUGUCAGCCGCCGCGGUAACACGUAAGUUGCGAGCGUUGUUCGGAAUUAUUGGGCGUAAAGGGCAUGUAGGCUGAUUUGAAAGCUUGAUGUGAAAUCCCGCAGCUUAACUGCGGAACUGCAUUGAGAACUACAAGACUUGAGUUACUGAGGGGAAACUAGAAUUCCAAGUGUAGGGGUGAAAUCUGUAGAUAUUUGGAAGAAUACCAAUGGCGAAGGCAAGUUUCUGGCAGAUAACUGACGCUGAGGUGCGAAGGUGCGGGGAGCAAACAGGAUUAGAUACCCUGGUAGUCCGCACAGUAAACGAUGUACACUAGGUGUUUGACCAAGAGGUUGAGUGCCAAAGCUAACGUGAUAAGUGUACCGCCUGGGAAGUAUGCCCGCAAGGGUGAAACUCAAAUAAAUUGACGG
rnacentral:rRNA from 1 species